CGGCUAGCACGAAAAACUUUCGAGUUCGAAUCGUUUGCGUAUUCGGAUCGUCAUCAAAAGAUUUAGUACGAAAACUACAACAGCGCCCUUGUGAACGUGUCGUAAAGUAAACUUACUAUGAGAAAUGGUUGCACGAAACUUAUUUUGAGAAUCAAAAUUGUCACGUUAUCGCUUAAUUCGAAGGUUGAGUAUCGAAUUUUGUCGAAUACGCAAACGAUUCGAAGACGAAAGUUGUUCAUGCUAGAGGUACAGAGCGUCGAUGUGACGUCACGGCUGCCAGGAGCGAUUUAACUCAACCGGGUUGUAAAAUGAAAUCUCAAUCCAUGUAACACCGCAGCGUAUACCAGUUUCCCGCAAACGUAAAACUACAGUUAUAUUUAAAGGAACUAAAACACAGCCUGUCCAACUCUAAAUCACUGGGUGGGUAACAUAACUGAGGUCUAGCAUGAAAGGGCCCUCGCCCUCGGCGACUUUUACGAAACGCGCGACAGCAUCGCUACUAUAGCACGUUAAUUGCAUUUGCAACGCACUACAGUACGGCU